rnacentral:ncRNA from 1 species
CCCGCUGAAUUUAAGGAUAUGACUAAGCGGAAGAACAGUAUCUAACAAGGAUUGCUCCAGUAGUGUCAAGCGAAGAGGGAAGGGCCCCGUGCAGACGGGGUGGGCAAGGGAUAUCUAGCAUAGGGAAGACCAGUCGACUGAGGCGUCGGCUGGGAGCCUGAGCCCUCCUGAUCGGAGCUGAGCCCGUGGACGUUGUGAGGCCGUUAGCGGCCCGCUUUGCACAGAGGCGCAGUCUUCCUGGAGUCGGUUUGCUUGGGAAUGCAGCCCAAAGUGGGUGGUAAACUCCAUCCAAGGCUAAGUACUGGCACAAGGCUGAUAGUCGACAAGUAUCAUAAGGGAAAUUUGAAAAGAA